CUUUUUCACUUCACUCAGCCGCUUCUCACCCUUUCUCUCUUUAAAAAUUUCUCUCUCUUAAAUCCCUAAACUACUCUCUAAUCUUUUUCAUCCCCUAAAUUCCUCUCUAAUCCUUGGAUUUUCAUCAAUCUAUACUUCCUGCUAAACACUUCACCUUCUUCUCAACAUCUACUUCAUCAUUUCAAGCAAGUUGCGGCUACUCAAAUCCAUCUUUCUUUACAGAGAGGAGAAGAUUCAUUCCACUAUGGAGGGUGGGCAUAACCAAGAGAAUUGAAGAUUUUAUUUAAAUCACUAUAGCUUUUGAAAUUCAAUUUGUAAUUUGUUAAGUAGACUACUUGGUUUGUAAUCUAUUAAGUAGUUUUGUUAGACAAUUUUGUUUGGGUUUGAAUCUCUGUUUUGCUUGAGAAUUUAAAAUGCAAUUGAAUGAACUGAAAAAAAAAAUAAUCUUUUGAAUGAAUAAAUCAGAUUGGCUGGGUUGAUCCAACCCAAAUAAA